rnacentral:tRNA from 1 species
AGCCCCGUCGUCUAGUGGUCAAGGAUAUGAGGUUCUGGUCCUCAGGACAGCGGUUCGAAUCCGCUCGGGGCUA